rnacentral:rRNA from 1 species
CCUACGGGCGGCUGCAGUGGGGAAUAUUGGACAAUGGGGGCAACCCUGAUCCAGCCAUGCCGCGUGUGUGAAGAAGGCCCUCGGGUUGUAAAGCACUUUCAGUGAGGAAGAACGCCUGGUGGUUAAUACCCAUCAGGAAAGACAUCACUCACAGAAGAAGCACCGGCUAACUCCGUGCCAGCAGCCGCGGUAAUACGGAGGGUGCGAGCGUUAAUCGGAAUUACUGGGCGUAAAGCGCGCGUAGGUGGCUUGAUAAGCCGGUUGUGAAAGCCCCGGGCUCAACCUGGGAACGGCAUCCGGAACUGUCAAGCUUGAGUGCAGGAGAGGAAGGUAGAAUUCCCGGUGUAGCGGUGAAAUGCGUAGAGAUCGGGAGGAAUACCAGUGGCGAAGGCGGCCUUCUGGACUGACACUGACACUGAGGUGCGAAAGCGUGGGUAGCAAACAGGAUUAGAUACCCUAGUAGUC